CGGGGUGGAGUAAUGUCUGGGAAACUGCCUGAUGGAGGGGGAUAACUGCUGGAAACGGUAGCUAAUACCGCAUAACGUCGCAAGACCAAAGAGGGGGACCUUCGGGCCUCUUGCCAUCGGAUGUGCCCAGAUGGGAUUAGCUAGUAGGUGGGGUAACGGCUCACCUAGGCGACAAUCCCUAGCUGGUCUGAGAGGAUGACCAGCCACACUGGAACUGAGACACGGUCCAG
rnacentral:rRNA from 1 species